rnacentral:lncRNA from 1 species
GUUUGGAAAGCUAACUGGAGGAUUCCCAUGAGCCAUCUGGGCAGAGCCUGAGGAAGGUGAUGCCCUCUCUACAGAGAUCCUACAUCUACAAAGAGUCAUCAUGCCAGCUGGGCUAAGUCACCCGGGGCCCUUUCCGCUGAUUCUCCAGGCGACUUUCUGACUACAUUUCUACAUCACAGGUUCCCCUCUGCUAACAUCUUCUUCAGGCUGAUAUGCAAGAUGCCUUACAAAGCACACUGUUGCUAAAGGUGUGACAUAUAGCCCCUAAAUCACGUUAUGUCCAUUUUCUUGAUAUAUCUUCUCUUCUUACUUGAAUCACCAUCACCACCAAUAACAAAUAAAAAAAUACAAAUAUUUAUCUCUUUUCAAGUCUUUAUAUCUUCAGAUUGCCUGCUUUACCACCUGGGGAAUUCCUACCUGGUUUCUGCAUCAAUCUGCGACAUUACCAGUGUUCUAACAUUCUGGCCCUUGGUGGAAGCAUACUUUGAGGGCUCAGCCCUCUCUGAGCAACAACACUGGAUUUGUGCGAGGCACCAGACCUCUCCAGGAACCUCUAAGAAGACAGUAACAGAUGUUCUCUGGAAAAGAAUACCCUCGCUGGGAAUUAAGCCACCUGGAUGUCUAACUCCUGAACAAGGCACACAGCCUUCCUGGCUGCCGUAA